GGAAGAACUCUGGAGCUGCAGCCCGAUCUUGCUUUCUAGAAGGGACUCGCGAUUUCUGUGGAGUUCUGGGUUUCUGGUGUGGGAGGGCAGGACUCCUGGCUGAUAAGCAGGGUGCAUCAGCAGAUGGCAUUGCCAGGAGCAACCAAUUACUGCGAGGGACAAUAAAAGGUGCCCAGAUGAACAAACACAUUGAGUUCAAAGGAUGAUGUCUGAUCCCUCCUGAGCCCCCACUUAC